AACGAGUGGAGCUAACGAUUUAAUUAUUUUCGUGCUAUGCAUGAAAUCAGUGGCGGACGGGUGAGUAAAAGCAAGGAACGUACCCUUUACUGUGGGAUAGCUCGUCGAAAGACGGGGUAAUACCGCAUGAGGUCGUAAGAUCAAGGGAUGUAACAGUCCGGUAAAGGAGCGGCCUUGCACCUAUCAGCUAGUUGGUGGGGUAAUGGCCUACCAAGGCUUCGACGGGUAGGGGGUGUGAGAGCACGACCCCCCACAAUGGCACUGAGACACGGGCCAUACAUCUACGGAUGGCAGCAACUGGGAAUCGUUGGCAAUGGGCGAAAGCCUGACCACGCGACGCCGCGUGAGGGAUGAAGUAUUUCGGUAUGUAAACCUCUUUUGCCAAGUCCCCGAGACUUGGCGAAUAAGCACCUACAAACUACGUGCCAGCAGUCGCGGUAAUACGUAGGGUGCAAGCGUUAUCCGGAUUCACUGGGCGUAAAGAGUCGUGUAGGCGGACUGCCGCAUCGUACUUGAAAUACCAAGGCUCAACCUUGGAAUUGGGUACGAGAUGGGUAGUCUCCGAGGGAGGCAGAGGAAAGGGGAACUGAUGGUGAAGCAGUGAAAUGCGUUGAUAUCAUCAGGAACACCAAAGGCGAAGGCACCUUUCUGGGCCUCUCCUGACGCUGAGACACGAAAGCUAGGGGAGCGAAGCAGAUUAGAGACCUGCGUAGUCCUAGCCCUAAACGCAUGUCUGCUAGAUGCCCUGUCGCAAGACGGGGUGUCGUAAGCUAACGCGUUAAGCAGACCGCCUGGGGAGUACGAUCGCAAGAUUAAAACUCAAAGGAAUUGACGGGACCCGCACAACCGGUGGAGCGU
rnacentral:rRNA from 1 species